rnacentral:rRNA from 1 species
AGCGAACGCUGGCGGCAGGCUUAACACAUGCAAGUCGAACGGUCCUUCGGGAUAGUGGCGGACGGGUGAGUAACACGGGGGAACGUACCCUUAGGUUCGGAACAACACAGGGAAACUUGUGCUAAUACCGGAUAAGCCCUUCGGGGGAAAGAUUUAUCGCCUUUGGAGCGGCCCGCGUCUGAUUAGCUUGUUGGUGAGGUAAUGGCUCACCAAGGCUACGAUCAGUAGUUGGUCUGAGAGGAUGGCCAGCCACACUGGGACUGAGACACGUCCCAGAGACCUACGGGGGGCAGCAGUGGGCAAACUUGCGCAGUGGGCGAAAGCCGGACGCAGCCUAGCCGCGUGGAGGAUGAGGGUCCUGGGAGUGUAAAAUCGUUUCACCGUGGACCAUAAAGACGGUACCCGGAGAAGUAGCCCCGGCUUACUUCGUGCCAGCCGCCGCGGUAG